CGUUAUAACACACACGUAUCGGCACAUGCGGCGGGGUGCUUUAAAGCGUUUAUUCGCUUUGGGGUCGGCGUUAUGGGAUACGUGGAGGCAUAAC
rnacentral:sRNA from 1 species